rnacentral:rRNA from 1 species
UACGGAGGGUGCAAGCGUUAAUCGGAAUUACUGGGCGUAAAGGGUGCGUAGGCGGUUGUUUAAGUCUGUUGUGAAAUCCCCGGGCUCAACCUGGGAAUGGCAAUGGAUACUGGGCAGCUAGAGUGUGUCAGAGGAUGGUGGAAUUCCCGGUGUAGCGGUGAAAUGCGUAGAGAUCGGGAGGAACAUCAGUGGCGAAGGCGGCCAUCUGGGACAACACUGACGCUGAAGCACGAAAGCGUGGGGAGCAAACAGGAUUAGAUACCCUGGUAGUCCACGCCCUAAACGAUGCGAACUGGAUGUUGGUCUCAACUCGGAGAUCAGUGUCGAAGCUAACGCGUUAAGUUCGCCGCCUGGGGAGUACGGUCGCAAGACUGAA